rnacentral:lncRNA from 1 species
GUCAGUGUAUCUGCCUUCUGUCAUAUCUGUCUGGUUAAGAUUGCUCUCCUGGCUGCAAUCCCUUAUCUGGAAGCUAGUUCCAUUGAACUCAGUGGAAUUUACUUCUGAGUAGAUGUGCAUGGGGCUGUAUUCCAGCUGUGAUCUGCAAGAUUUGCGUUUCCAGUAAUAACUAUUUUUGUUAUUUCUUUCCCAGAUCAACACUCCGAAACCAUUACUAUACACCUGUGCAUUUUUAUGUCAUUCUGUUGUGAAGACUCACUAAUGAUGAGUACAUCUAAGAACAUAGGAAGCUACUUCAUACUUAUCCAUCAGUUCAUCUAGCUCAGUAUAAGAGCAGCUCUCUUGGUUUUGAGGCAGGGGCUUCUCCCUGAGUCCCAAGAAAUGCCAGGGAUUGAAUCCGGGGUUUUCUGCAUGCAAAGCAAAUGCUUCACCAUUCACCCAUAGCUCAGUGGCCUGUAUUUCUUUUGUCUAACUUUUUGCCCCAUUGUAAAACAUGGAAAACAACUAACAAAGUUUAGGAAAUCUGCUUCCUGUUAAUUUUUUACUUUAGACAUUAAGUUAGUUACUAAACUGAAACUGGUACAGUACCUGCGUAAAUGAUACUGAAUACUCUCAAAAUGUGGACAAACAGUUCUUUAACUACCUGAUGCAAAGAGGAAGUCUAUUUAAAAGUUUUGAGAAGUUGUGUAAUGUGACUUUAUAUGUGUAUGUUGGCAGAAGAACAGCAUGAUUCCUGUACGUGGGUGUGGAUUGCUAGAAUAAUCAUGCUGAUGUAAUCCUGGAAAAUUUGACACAGACUAUAAAGGCUAGGGGAGUCAUGUUCAUGCUGAGCCUUUCAAGGAACACUGCCUUUUUUAUUUUUCACGUCGGCUUAUAUUGAAAUAUGUUCAGUAUUGUUUGGAAUUGUUGUCAUCUUCACUGCAA